rnacentral:rRNA from 1 species
CCUACGGGAGACAGCAGUGGGGAAUAUUGCACAAUGGGGGAAACCCUGAUGCAGCGACGCCGCGUGAGUGAAGAAGGAAUUCGUUAUGUAAAGCUCUAUCAGCAGGGAAGAAAAUGACGGUACCUGAGUAAGAAGCCCCGGCUAACUACGUGCCAGCAGCCGCGGUAAUACGUAGGGGGCAAGCGUUAUCCGGAUUUACUGGGUGUAAAGGGAGCGUAGACGGCAGUGCAAGUCUGGAGUGAAAGGCGGGGGCUCAACCCCCGGACUGCUCUGGAAACUGUACGGCUGGAGUGCAGGAGAGGUAAGUGGAAUUCCUAGUGUAGCGGUGGAAUGCGUAGAUAUUAGGAGGAACACCAGUGGCGAAGGCGGCUUACUGGACUGUAACUGACGUUGAGGCUCGAAAGCGUGGGGAGCAAACAGGAUUAGAUACCCGGGUAGUC